GGAGGGGUGCAAGCGUUGUUCGGAAUUAUUGGGCGUAAAGAGCGUGUAGGGCGGUUCGGUAAGUCAGAUGUGAAAGCCCUGGGCUCAACCCAGGAAGUGCAUUUGAAACUACCAGACUUGAGUGCGGGAGAGGAGGGGGGAAUUCCCGGUGUAGAGGUGAAAUUCGUAGAUAUCGGGAGGAAUACCAGUGGCGAAGGCGCCCCUCUGGACCGAUACUGACGCUGAGACGCGAAAGCGUGGGGAGCAAACAGGAUUAGAUACCCUGGUAGUCCACGCCGUAAACGAUGAGCACUAGGUGUAGCGGGUAUUGACCCCUGCUGUGCCGUAGCUAACGCAUUAAGUGCUCCGCCUGGGGACUACGGUCGCAAGACUA
rnacentral:rRNA from 1 species